CUCCUCCCGAUCUGCUAAAAAAAUAGCCCUCCCGUAUCCCUAACCUCAUCCCCACCAUCCCACCCAUCGCCUGCAAUGGAUCCGCCGCCGCCCUGAUCCCGACCAUCCGCCGCCGCGCUCUGCCCCAUCCACCGCCGCUGCUCACCGCAUUCACCCUCUGUUGCAUCCCAGCACCUCCAUAGCCACCGUGGACCAUCUCUCUCCUUGGUCCUCUCUUGGAUCAACAUGCGGUGACGGAUGCUUCCGGUCGCGUGGUGGUGAUGCGGCUGGUCGUGGAACAAGGGUGAGGCGGACUGUGUCCCAUUCAUUGAUCUUCCUCCAGCUCCAAUUCCUCCUCUCCCACCGAUCGUCAUGUCUGCGACAGGCGCUCUGCUUACCUGCGGCAACGAUGCGUAUGGCGACAACAAUGUCCUUUUGUGCCCCUCCACUCUUCGGACCGCUGAUGCACGGAAGUACGCAGAGAAGAUCGCGCUCCGCUUAGCAAAUUCGUCCGUGUUCUAAGUGGCUGCUCGGCAAGAGCUUGUGCCGGAUGUUCAUCAUCAACGCCAGAUAGGGGUUCAGGCUCCUGUUGAACUCAUGGCAUCAGCCAUAUGGACCUGCAUGUAUUUGAUAGUUUGCUCAAUCAGAUUUAUCCCUUCAACCAUAGUUUUUUGGCUGGAUACUGAGAUGGCACCAUUGUGCUGCUGAAGUUAAACCCUGUUUAUUGGGACGUACAAGCGGUCGGCAAGCACACAUGGCGGCCAGGGAUAAGCCAUAUUUUUCCAAUGACUGCUGCUAGGAUUGAUGUCCUAUUGCCGGAGAAACAAUGGCAACAGUCGCACCGUUUUGUCCAGCGAUGAUAUCAUCCAUGUCUAUUAUUUUGUUGACAAUCACCAUAGGUGCCCGCUCUUUCUUAAUAGAUUUGCAUUUUGAUCUCUGUAGCUUUUUAUGGAUGAAACCUAACUAUGUUACAUGCAUGCCUCAUCUAUGCAUUUUACCACUACUAUUUUCUUAAAAGAUGGUAACAUUGUCCAUCAGAUCUUUUUCUUA